rnacentral:rRNA from 1 species
AAAUUGAAGAGUUUGAUCAUGGCUCAGAUUGAACGCUGGCGGCAGGCCUAACACAUGCAAGUCGAACGGUAACAGGAAGCAGCUUGCUGCUUCGCUGACGAGUGGCGGACGGGUGAGUAAUGUCUGGGAAACUGCCUGAUGGAGGGGGAUAACUACUGGAAACGGUAGCUAAUACCGCAUAACGUCGCAAGACCAAAGAGGGGGACCUUCGGGC